UCUACCACCAAGUCCCACAGGUCAACAACAAUCUGGGAAGCGGUACCCAGAAGCGCAACCACUAGAUUUGCGGCCAAGAAAGCAUACAACCGUCCACAUUGUUUACAAAUCCAUUAUAUGAGAUCAUCGAACGCCCUGAAGCAUCACACCUGGCAGCGUGUAAUAUAAGGCGGCACUCGAAUAACAAGAGAUUCCAGUGUAGCGUAUUCGUUUACAGCAAUGUACGAUUCCGGACUCGACACGAAGAACGCGCAUGCGUGCCAAAAUCCCGCCAAAAUUGGCCAACUCACAGCAUAACAUGCAAGAACAAUGCUGUCAGAUUGAUGCUGUUUGGGCGCGCGAUAGUGGUAGCACUCAACCGGCUGUGAUAGCGGACCGUUGAGGACAGUUUGCUGCGAACCGUCGGUCGGAUAGGACGCGCAAUCCGGAACAACCUCCGAUGGUGGACAGCUGGAUCUAGCAGAACAGUUCUGAGGAAUAGUUAUUGUGUGGUGAAAAUCGGGGGUUUUUUUUUAGUAGUUAUGAGAUAUCAACUGGAAACAGUGUAGAAUUGUCCAGAAUCCCCGGAAGAAUUACAAACAACGUGUACCAAACGCUGUAAACUCAACGUCGCGGUGGCUGGCAGCGGUUACACAGUUCGACAAUUUUUAACUCGAAGAAAUGUUUAAAAAAAUGUGAAUCUGAAAUGCCGAAGGUUUGCUAGAAGAAAAAAGAAGACUUUUGAAUCCUAAUUAAACCAAUUCUAGUGAUUUAAAACUUUAUUCGACUGUUUGAGAUCUGUAAAUCUAAAUAUGAUGCGGAUUGAAUGAAUGAAUAAAUUCCAAAAAUAAAAACUGUGUUACAGUGUUAUUAAGAAAAAACCCGUGGAGGACCAUUUGAAAAAUAAUAAAGGUGUGAAUCGCGUUUACAUUCUGUGUGUGUACCAGCAGUGUCUGUGCGUGAGUGUGUAUGUUGCUUUUUAGUAAACAAAUAAAACUGACACACGGUGGCAACGGACUGCUCAAGACAGCCGCUUGGGAUAUUGGCGGCGUGAUCGUCCAUGGUGGACGUGGUGGUCGGUUCCACUCGACGGGGAACUUAAUACGGCCGAACCCAGCCAACCAGCAGCCCCAACUGGACAGUAGUGACCAGGCGCGUGGUGGUUCCAAUCGAGUGGUGCUGAUGAGUCGAGUGUGCUGCAAUAGAGUCGAUCUCAAACAGAUUGAAUA